rnacentral:rRNA from 1 species
CCCUUAGAUGUUCUGGGCCGCACGCGUGCUACACUGAGUGGAUCAGCGGGUCAGGUUGCGCGAAAGUGUUUCCUAAUCUUGAAAUCCGCUCGUGAUGGGGAUUGACGGUUGCAAUUUUCCGUCAUGAACGAGGAAUACCUUGUAAGCGCGGGUCAUCAUCCCGCGCUGAAUACGUCCCUGCCCUUUGUACACACCGCCCGUCGCUCCUACCGAUUGAGUGGUCCGGUGAGGCUUUGGGAUCUGAGCGGAAAGAGCGUUUCGCUGUUUCUGCUCGGAAAACUCAGUCGAACCUUAUCAUCUAGAGGAAGGUGAAGUCGUAACA